CAGGGUCAAUGCCCGUAGGGAGUAAGGAGGCAGGACUGGGUAGCAGGAGAAUUUGAGCUGUGGAGGCCCAAGGAAAGGCUCAGCUGGGGGCACUUCAGGCUUGUCCUAAUGCACCAGGCUAGACCUUCGUGCACCUCCGUAUGCAAAAACAAAACCCAAAAAGAGCCUGAAUUUCUGCCCCAGUUAUAGUGUGAUGUAGCAGACAGACCUGGCAUAUUUGACACCCUGAUUACUGCCAACACUCCUCUCUUCCAUAAGACAAAAUUGUCAGUAAUAAUCAUGACAUGAAAUAAAUAUGCAUGAGCUAAAAUCUGAACUUACCUAAUAAAUAUGGUGCACCUCACAGUUCUAACCCUAUGUCGCUGUCUGGAAUUUUAAACACAAAUGCAGAUUCCAAGUGGUCACAC
rnacentral:lncRNA from 1 species